rnacentral:rRNA from 1 species
CGGACGAGAAAGUGGACUUCGGUCCGCAAGUAAAGUGGCAUACGGGUGAGUAACACGUGGGUAACCUGCCCGGAGGUGGGGGACAACUCUUCGAAAGGGGAGCUAAUACCGCAUAACAUCCCGAGCACUUCGGUGCAUGGGAUCAAAGUUUGCCUCUGUUUCAUGCAAACGCCACCGGAGGGACCCGCGUCCCAUUAGCUUGAUGGUGAGGUAACGGCUCACCAUGGCUACGAUGGGUAGCCGGCCUGAGAGGGUGAUCGGCCACACUGGAACUGAGACACGGUCCAGACUCCUACGGGAGGCAGCAGUGAGGAAUUUUGCGCAAUGGGCGAAAGCCUGACGCAGCGACGCCGCGUGGAGGAAGAAGGCCUUCGGGUCGUAAACUCCUGUCAAGAGGGACGAAUCCCUAUCGAAUGAAUAAGUCAGUAGGUUGACGGUACCUCUGAAGGAAGCCCCGGCUAACUCCGUGCCAGCAGCCGCGGUAAUACGGAGGGGGCAAGCGUUGUUCGGAAUUAUUGGGCGUAAAGGGCACGUAGGCGGUCAAGCAAGUUGGUGGUGAA